rnacentral:rRNA from 1 species
AGGGUGUAAACGCUGCAGACUUGGUGUUGGGGGCCCUUUGGGGGCAUUCAGUGCCGGAGAGAAGUUGUUAAGUCUGCUACUUGGGGAGUACGUCCGCAAGGAUGAAACUUAAAGGAAUUGGCAGGGAGCACCGCAACGGGAGGAGCGUGCGGUUUAAUUGGAUUCAACACCGUAAAACUCACCAGGGAAGACUGUUACAUGAAGGCCGAGAUGAAGACUCUGCUAGAUUUUCAGAGAGGAGGUGCAUGGCGUCAGUGACU